UACGUAGGGUCCGAGCGUUGUCCGGAAUUAUUGGGCGUAAAGAGCUCGUAGGCGGUUUGUCGCGUCUGCUGUGAAAACUGGAGGCUCAACCUCCAGCCUGCAGUGGGUACGGGCAGACUAGAGUGCGGUAGGGGAGAUUGGAAUUCCUGGUGUAGCGGUGGAAUGCGCAGAUAUCAGGAGGAACACCGAUGGCGAAGGCAGAUCUCUGGGCCGUAACUGACGCUGAGGAGCGAAAGCAUGGGGAGCGAACAGG
rnacentral:rRNA from 1 species